ACAGCAGGCGCCUCCUGCGGGACUCCGGGACGGUGCUGGGCGGGUCGGCGGCGGAGCCCGGGGGCAGCAGAGCCCGCUGCCCGCCGUCUGCCGGGAGCGCGGCCGCCCGCCCCGGGUCCCCGCAGCAGCCUCGGUGCCCCGAGUGCGUCGGCACCGCCCGCCCGGCCUUGGCGCGGCCGCGGUGACUCGGGCCCGGCUCUAGCUGCCCGUCCCCCUCGACUGUCGGCUCCGUGUGUCUGCUGAUUUGGCUGCAUCUGUCCUGCAUAUUUAUGGUCGCCUGUCACUGUCACAUUCCCUGGCCGUUGACAGUUUCCAAAGCACUUGGGCCAGAAGAAACUCGGGAUUUGGGGAGUUCAUAACAGGUGGAGGCGCUGAAGGGAGGCGACCCGCCCGGGACUCAGCCCGACGAGGCGGGAGCUCUAGGAGUUGCUGGAGACUCUGUCGGGAACAGUGUUGGGAGGUGGCCCGUGGCUGCCAGGGUGUCCUUGCUGUCAACUGCUGGACUCGGAGCGGGACCUGUGCCCCGCCCCGAGCACAGUGUGGAGGCCGCUCGCUUAAGGGUCCUGCAAGUGAAGGUGCUGGGGCUGGGGGACUUUAGUCACCCGCUUCUCACGUGAUUGCUGCGCCCUCCAGCUAGGCGGACAGUGACUCCUCUUUCUCCAGAGCCAACUUUGGAUCUUUCUCACCUGUGCUUUUGUAACCUUUUGAUUAGCAAAAGCAAGACGAAUUGUUCCCGGAACACUUAAGCUGCCUGGAAACUUACUUACAAGAAAAAUCGAGCGUUAAUUCAUCAGGGACAUCCUGAGGGUUUUGCUGUCGGGCCAGUUAACUGAUUGCAAAUUCUCCCCAAGUUUAAAACUAGGUGAGCUGCUUUGGGGAGCAGCCUGAGAUCAGGGCUCGGUGGUCUGACAGCUGAGCAGGAGGCCCGGGUAAGGGAUCAUGGUGGACUUACAAAGCCUGGCAGGUAGGAGCUGACUUUCACCUUGGCGGGGACAGGAGGAACCAAUCACUGCAGCCUUUGGAACCUCCUCAUCCUCAGUGAAACAGGACAGCUCACAGGAUUGCGUUCCUAAAGUUUAUUCCUAAGACCAUUCCCCAUAAAGUUCUGUUUGGGUCAGGUUGUUUGGGGUUAAAACUGAGCCUUACUGAACCAAUUAAAAACAUGCCGGAGUCAAAUUACAUAAAUCAUUUUGAAAAUUAAGAUACUGACAACCCUAUGGUCUCUAAAGGUUCUUUCCUGCUCAAUUUAUAUUACUCUUCUAUCUUUAGUGUAAAAUCAUCUUCAUCCUAUUAUGUACUGAUUAUCAAGAAGAAAGUGUUCUUUUAUUGCUUGUUGAUGUCAGUUUCUCUUUUAUUGGCUUGUUGCUCCUUCCUUUAAGUCAUGGGCUGGAAGGGACAGAAUCUCAUUUCCUCCACUAAAGCAGCCACUUGUACUAACGGGUUUUUCUCAUUCUGUAUGUCAGGCCUAGGGAAAGACAUUGUGUUUUAAAGGCUAUGGCUUUUUUUUUUUUUUUUUCAAAUAAUCAGCAAGGCAAGGAGAGAAGUAACCAUGCUCAGCCUAGGGACUGUAAGUGUUCUGAUAAGUAAGAGGAACAAGGUAGAAACAUGGGAAAGUUGAAGGGUUUGUAGCUGCUCUUCAAUUAGAUCGUUUCACCAGAACUGCAUUAUUUCACCUGAUGUGUUGUGAAACUGCACAAUCUCAAACCCACCCUGAAGUCAUCAACUACUAAGAUAUGUUUUUGUUUUGGGUUUUUUUUGGUACCUGGGAUCGAACUCGGGACCUUGUGCUUGCAAGGCAGGUGCCGGAACCACUGAGCUAAAUCCCUGCCCCUAAGAUGUAUUUUUAAAACAAACACGAAUAUAAUUUUUUCUGUUGACGCUGUCCACCUGUGUAAAUAAUGAUAGUUACAUAUUUAGUUUGUUUACAGAAAAUUGAUUUUCUUAAGUUACUACAACCUAUUGUACUUACUCAAGGUUCAGGAAAAGAUACUUUCAAAUAUGUGUUCUGAAUCUUCAAAAUAUUAAGUUAUGGCUGAGGCAAGAAGAUUACAAGUUUGAGGACAGCCUAGGCAACGUAGACCCUGUCUCAAAAAAAAGACAGAAAAAUCAGCAAAUCUCAGCGGAAGGAAUAGCACAGCAUGAUGCAAAGAACCCUGGUCUUGUAGUUUCAGUCCUUGGGGAAGAUACUGUCUUGGCCGCAUACUUAACUGUGUGACUCUGGAAAGAUAUUCACUCUGGCCAUCAGACCCUUCAUUGGUAAAUAAUGCAAUGUCUCUUCCAUAACCAGAGUUAGAAAAAAUACUGUUUCCUUUCUUCUUUCCCUUUUAUGGUAACUUUGAAUGCUUCCUUUUGUUUAGACUGAAGUUUUCAUUUUUCAAUUAUAAAGCAACUUAUUUCUUAACUGCAUUUCUGGUGUAUUCACCCCCCAAAUGUUUGAAAUUAGUUUCCUACAUUUUUCCUGAGUACUGUAAUUAAAACAUCAAAUGCUUUAAUGAAAGAGCUGUGAGUCAUGAAAACACCUAGAUUCUCUUUGACUCUCCAACUAAAAAGUCUUUGAACACAUGAGCUCAAGUGAUCUCUUUCUCUUUCAUUUUCCCAAAAUGAGCAUUGGAUUAGACUCUAGUGGCCACUUCUAGCUCCAGAAGUUUAUGCUCAUCUAUUCAAACUCCUUUUUAGAUUCUCAAACUCCUGGAUUAAGAACAGCUGUAUAGGCCUGUUCUAUCAAGAUUUGAAGGAAAGCAUGAAAUCCUUAAUUAGAGAGCUCUUUUGUAAUUAGUUCUAAAAUUUGAGUGCAGAGAAUUGAAAUGCUGUCACUGUAUUGACAACCCAUCAGAAGCAUGUAAGUCUCUAUGCAGCUUCUUUAUGGUCUGUGCAUUGGCUCUUUAUCCUUUGGCCUGAAGGAUUUUCACUCACCUGGUCUCCAAAGCUCCAGCUUUCACCUCAGGCCUCAGGGUUUCUGCAUUGUGAGUAAGUUUCCCUGUUUGUACCAAUGCAUGCCUUUGUCUAAGAACAUUGCCUGAAGGUGACAGUAAACAGCACUGGAAAUAGUAUUUGAGAUGCUUACUGUAAUACAGUCCAUUUUGGUCAUAUAGUUGCAGACACUGAAUAGAGUACAGUUUUGUUUAUAUCUGUAUUUCUUAAUUGAAAAUGUAUUUUGGCAGUCCAUGAUGUCUGUUUUCUGAACCAUAAAAGCCACAUGUCUAAUUCAUAAACUAUAGUCCUGAAUUUAAUUUACUCACCAUUUUAUCUUCAAGGAGAAAAAUACGAUUUGAGGUUUUAAAUAAAUGUGAAAUGCUUUGCCACAGAGAUUCUAAAGAAAUAAAAUACACUGCUGGGCCCAGCACAAGCCUUCACACUGAAUUUGUAUUUCUGAAGGACACCGGCUCAGCUUAUUUCACAGAUUGAAUAAAGUGCCUUUGGUUCUAAUGUACCUGUUACAAUUUAACUAAAAUAGUCAUGAGCAAAGUCUUAUUUCUAAAAGCAUUUCUCUGGCAUGAGACUAUGUGACUGAAACCAUUAUAAGUAGAAUUUACAGAAAAUUAUACUUUGUUCAAAGGAAUGUUUUAUAAAGAUAUUUUGAGUGCCUAAAGGUGAGUUCUGUUUAUAUAAGAAGAAUGUGUGGUCAUAAAUCCAUGCUGUGCUGGCUAAUAGGACAUUUUUUUUCAUAAUCAGAUACAUGUUUAUUUUAUAUUGGAUUUUAAACUUCUGGAAAAUUCCAAAAUCCAAAUGAAAAG
ensembl:lncRNA